AAGUGGACUAAUGUUCCCCAUAUUUAUCAUCGACUGAACAAAGCUCUGGAAGAAGGUGCCCUGGCUGUUCGCAAAGCUGUUAACAAUCGAAGCGGUGGGAGCUCCACUUGUUGAGAGGAGCUCUUGGUCUGACUGUAGAAGCCCUCGGUUGCCCUGAAGGUUGUUGAAGUAGUUCUUGUCGAAGGUGUUCGGUGUCGUCGGGUCGAGAUUGUUGAGAGUGCUGCCAGGCCCUCCCUGAGGGCAGUUCUGCUGCAGUGUGCUCCGGUAAGAGGGGUUCAAGGUUGAGUCCGGUCUGCCGCCACUGAAGUUAUAGAGACGAUUGCUGAAGGAUUUGCAUUGUGCUCGACCAAAGGCAACGAGAUCAGUAUUGCCGAGGCCGACAGCGGAGAAUUUGGACUGCAGUGUACUUAAGGGAUCGAAGGGGCUGGGGAGGUUGUUGGCAGCGUUUCUGUUGGCAGUGGUGCCAUCCCUUCUUCCGAGUAACACAGACCAUGAGGGACCUCCUGACUGUGAACAAUGUUUGGUAGCUUUCAAUGCAUUGCGUCUCCUACGAUGGAGACUGGUCCGGGGACUGCUUGGGUGGAGGCGUUUCUAUUUUUGUAGACGGGCGAUGUCAACGUGGCAUGGGAAUCUCGUUCAAGAAAGUCAGGCGUCCAGCGCAACUAUUGCUCCACUGUGGCACGCUGUGCUUGCCAAUUCACAAUUAGUAACACGAGAGGUCCACACCAGCUGGAUGACCUUUUUUUUUUUAUACAAAAUAAAAAAGAUAUAUAUUUGCUGGUCAUCAGAUGGUUAGAAUAGUUAAAUCUAUUAUUCUCUGGUUAGCUUUUUAGUAUUAUUAUGGCCAAUCUCCUAUUACGCUUAUCGUCGGUGAAAAGCACCUGUAAAACAAAGUCCUCACAGACCGAAAUUAUGUUCGGCGGAAAUCCUCCGAUACUUAAGUCAGAGAGGGAGUUGGUGAACGACAGAUAAAGAGAAUUUAAAAUGACAGAAUCUUCGUUCAGAAUUGU